rnacentral:rRNA from 1 species
CCUACGGGAGACUGCAGUGGGGGAUAUUGCACAAUGGGGGGAACCCUGAUGCAGCGACGCCGCGUGGGUGAAGAAGCGCCUCGGCGCGUAAAGCCCUGUCAGCAGGGAAGAAAAUGACGGUACCUGAAGCAGAAGCCCCGGCUAACUACGUUCCAGCAGCCGCGGUAAUACGUAGGGGGCAAGCGUUAUCCGGAUUUACUGGGGGUAAAGGGGGCGCAGACGGCGAUGCAAGCCAGGAGUGAAAGCCCGGGGCCCAACCCCGGGACUGCCCUUGGAACUGCGUGGCUGGAGUGCAGGAGGGGCAGGCGGAAUUCCUGGUGUAGCGGUGAAAUGCGUAGAUAUCAGGAGGAACACCGGUGGCGAAGGCGGCCUGCUGGACUGCAACUGACGUUGAGGCCCGAAAGCGUGGGGAGCAAACAGGAUUAGAUACCCCAGUAGUC